rnacentral:misc_RNA from 1 species
GAUGAAGAACGCAGCGAAAUGCGAUAAGUAAUGUGAAUUGCAGAAUUCAGUGAAUCAUCGAAUCUUUGAACGCACAUUGCGCCCCUUGGUAUUCCGAGGGGCAUGCCUGUUCGAGCGUCAUAUUAACCACUCCCGCUUGCGGGGUCUUGGGCUUCGCCUCCGGGCGGGCCUUAAAAUCAGUGGCGGUGCCGUCGGGCUCUACGCGUAGUAAAUUUUCUCGCGAUAGGGUCCCGGUGGAUGCUUGCCAACAACCCCCAACUUCUUAAGGUUGACCUCGGAUCAGGUAGGGAUACCCGCUGAACUUAAGCAUAUCAAUAGCGGAGGA